rnacentral:rRNA from 1 species
UCAAAGGAAUUGACGGGGACCCGCACAAGCAGCGGAGCGUGUGGUUUAAUUCGUUGCUACACGAAGAACCUUACCUGGGUUUGACAUAUAGGUUGUAGGGAACUGAAAAGGGACCGACCUUCGGGGAGCCUAUACAGGUGUUGCAUGGCUGUCGUCAGCUCGUGUCGUGAGAUGUUCGGUUAAGUCCGCUAACGAGCGCAACCCUCGUCGUAUGUUAUAUGUGUCAUACGAGACUGCCGGUAAAAAGCCGGAGGAAGGUGAGGAUGAUGUCAAGUCAGCAUGACCUUUAUAUCCAGGGCUACACACACGCUACAAUGGUCGGUACAGACGGACGCAAAGCCGCGAGGUGGAGCAAAUCCUAAAAAGCCGGUCUCAGUUCGGAUUGCAGGCUGCAAUUCGCCUGCAUGAAGUCGGAAUCGCUAGUAAUCGCAGGUCAGCAUACUGCGGUGAAUACGUUCCCGGGCCUU